GGGAAUCCUAAAUGUUCUUUCUGUGGGCAACUUGAAACAUCCCAGCACCUAUUUUUUGCUUGUCCUGUUGCUAAAGUGACCUGGAGAACAAUUGCGUGCAUGCUGGGCACCGACCUAUGCCCAAUUAGUUUAUGGCAAGCUUAUUCAUGGUGCUAUGUCUACUUCCCAGAUGGGGAGAUUUUUUAUACAGUUGGCAUUGCUGCUCUUUGCUGGGCUAUCUGGACCUGCCGCAAUAGUGCUACGUUUGAGUUUAAACGCUUACAAACCCCUUUUGAAUGUUGUUUCUAUAUGUGUGCUCUCUUAUGUUACUGGGCAGGUUUGCUGAAGCAGGAUGAUGCGGUGGAUCUGCGAGCUGGAGUGGAAAUGCUGAAGAGCAGUGUGGGUUAG
rnacentral:rRNA from 1 species